UUCGCAGUCAAGGGCGACAGGGCCAGUGAAAAUUCAGUCCUGGUAAACCGAACAUCUCCUGUGUGCCAUGGAUCUUUCAGUGGAAGUUAACUUUUAAGCCUGUCUAGUAGCGUGGAACUUGAUAUUUUAGCCCUCUCUAUAUACAGAGAUCCUCAUGAGGGAACCGUUUCAAUGUGGGUAAAUCUCACAAGAGCAGUUAUUAGAGUGGUACAGAGUAGCAGUGGCGUGCUAAGAGGGGACGGAGGGAGCUGUCCGCCCCGGGUGCCACUCACUAGGGGGGUACCAGGGGCAGGCUGUGUCGGGUCCUGGGUCACUGACUGAGAACCUGACACCAGGAGGGGGCCUGGCGGUAUAUCGAACAAGUGUGAUGCCCCUCCUGCGCAAAUUGCAGACACCGGUCUGCAGCUCUGCAGUGUGCAGAGCUGCAGACCGUGUGUCUCGCGAGAUCUGAUCAAUCAAAGCAUUGCCGUAGGUUACCACAGCAAUGCUCUGACUGGGUCUCGCAAAAUUCAUGGUCUGCACUGCUGAGCUGCAGACUGGAUAUCGCCGGAUAUCAACACCGGACCACCAGGGAGCCCACACUGGACCAUCAGGGAAUAAAAUAAGGUAUUUAGUCCCUCUCACCAUCACACCAUCACUCCCCCCUCUCUCUCACCAUCACAACAUCACUCCCCCCUUCCUCACAGUAUGACCCUCCCCCUCUCACGUUCCCCCCUCCCUCAAACCAUCACUUCCCCCUCCCUCACAGUAUGACCCCCCUCUCACUUUCCACCCUCUCACCUCUGUGUGUGUAUAUAUCUGUGUAUGUGUUGUGACAGAGUCUGUGGGAGGGUAAUAGAAGGAAGGUAUUUAGGACCCAGACUCCUCCAUAGCCUGUACUCAUUCACCUUCCCAAUUAGCAACUGCUGAGGCUUUAAUUAGCAGGUCUCAGAGCAGAAAGGGGGAGAUACAAUCUGACCUGCAGAGAGAGAGCAGCACCAAAC